UGGAUCCAGACCUUUAUUCUGGCUCAGGAUGAACGCUAGCUACAGGCUUAACACAUGCAAGUCGAGGGGCAGCAUCAUCAAAGCUUGCUUUGAUGGAUGGCGACCGGCGUACGGGUGAGUAACACGUAUCCAACCUGCCGACAACACUGGGAUAGCCUUUCGAAAGAAAGAUUAAUACCGGAUGGCAUAAUUAUUCCGCAUGGGAUAAUUAUUAAAGAAUUUCGGUUGUCGAUGGGGAUGCGUUCCAUUAGGCAGUUGGCGGGGUAACGGCCCACCAAACCUACGAUGGAUAGGGGUUCUGAGAGGAAGGUCCCCCACAUUGGAACUGAGACACGGUCCAAACUCCUACGGGAGGCAGCAGUGAGGAAUAUUGGUCAAUGGACGAGAGUCUGAACCAGCCAAGUAGCGUGAAGGAUGACUGCCCUAUGGGUUGUAAACUUCUUUUAUACGGGAAUAAAGUGAGCCACGUGUGGCUUUUUGUAUGUACCGUAUGAAUAAGGAUCGGCUAACUCCGUGCCAGCAGCCGCGGUAAUACGGAGGAUCCGAGCGUUAUCCGGAUUUAUUGGGUUUAAAGGGAGCGUAGGCGGGUUGUUAAGUCAGUUGUGAAAGUUUGCGGCUCAACCGUAAAAUUGCAGUUGAUACUGGCGACCUUGAGUGCAACAGAGGUAGGCGGAAUUCGUGGUGUAGCGGUGAAAUGCUUAGAUAUCACGAAGAACUCCGAUUGCGAAGGCAGCUUACUGGAUUGUAACUGACGCUGAUGCUCGAAAGUGUGGGUAUCAAACAGGAUUAGAUACCCUGGUAGUCCACACAGUAAACGAUGAAUACUCGCUGUUGGCGAUAUACAGUCAGCGGCCAAGCGAAAGCAUUAAGUAUUCCACCUGGGGAGUACGCCGGCAACGGUGCAACUCAAAGGAAUUGACGGA
rnacentral:rRNA from 1 species